UGGAUACAUCUAUGCUAUUUUUUUAAAGAUUUGAGAAAAGCAACACAAUUUUUUAAAAAGAAAAGAGGAUGUUGAGGAACAGUGGGGAAGAAAAUUGGGAAGUAGGACUAUGAAGAUAUCUUGGCAUUUUUCUUCUUCUGGAAAGACAAGCGAACAAACAAAAGAGCAGGUUUUAUGUUAAGACACCUUUUCUAUUGUCCUCAAAGUUGCUUGAUGGUUUUUUGCAGCUUCUAUCAGAAUACUUCCCAGGGAGGAAGGCCUGCCAUGUCUCCUCCGGCUUCCCAGCCUUGCAAGACCUUGAUUUAACAUUUCCUUCCCAGGGAGAGGCUGCACCCACGAAACCUCAGGUGAGAAGAUGUCUGUUUCUUGGAAAAUCUGAUUGAGGGGAAGCUGCAGUGGAAUUUGCUUUUGUCCUCCUGACGGUUCACAGACUCCCACUUCAGCAGCCUUGGGCUUCUCCACCCCGGCAGCUUUUCAUUGCUUUGUUCAGCACUGAUUAAUUUAGUUUCGGAGAAAAAGCCCCAAUUGUAUAUGUGUACACAUAGAAUUUUAUUGAAGCAAGUAAAUAAAUCCAUCAAAUA
rnacentral:lncRNA from 1 species